rnacentral:rRNA from 1 species
CGGCAAAAGCUCAAAUUUGAAAUCUGACGUUCAUUUGGAUGUCCGAGUUGUAAUUUGGAGGAGCGUCUUCGGAAGCAGACACCGUCCUAAGUUCUUUUGGAACUGGACAUCACAGAGGGUGAGAAUCCCGUGCCUGGGCGGCCGUCUGCUGCCAUGCGAAGCGUUUCCGACGAGUCGAGUUGUUUGGGAAUGCAGCUCAAAACGGGUGGUAAAUUUCAUCUAAAGCUAAAUAUUGGCGAGAGACCGAUAGCGCACAAGUAGAGUGAUCGAAAGAUGAAAAGCACUUUGAAAAGAGAGUUAAACAGUACGUGAAAUUGUUGAAAGGGAAGCGCUUGAGAUUGAACCUGGAAGAGAUGGUUGCGAGGUGGGGUUUCUCCGCCUUCGAAAAACAGCCAUCUUCACCCCAGGCCACCAUCGGUUCUAGCGGCGAGAAAAACAGCCAGGGAAUGUGGCUCCUCUCGGGGAGUGUUAUAGACCUAGCCUAUUUGCGCCAGCCGGGACCGAGGAAAUGAGCGAGCUGGGUUUUUUAUAGCCCAUGACCUCAAGGAUGUGUGGCAUGUUGAUCUUAAGCGACCCGUCUUGAAACACGGACCA